GAUGAAGAACGUAGCGAAAUGCGAUAAGUAGUGUGAAUUGCAGAAUUCAGUGAAUCAUCGAAUCUUUGAACGCACAUUGCGCCCGUUAGCAUUCUAGCGGGCAUGCCUGUCCGAGCGUCAUUUCAACCCUCAGGGUCCCCGUUCCGGCGGGGAACCUGGUGUUGGGGAUGGCCCGCCCCGUGCGGCGCCGUCCCCCAAAUUCAGUGGCGGUCUCGCUGCAGCCUCCCCUGCGUAGUAGUUACAACCUCGCAUCGGAGCUCAGCGCGGCCACGCCGUAAAACCCCCGACUUUCUGAACGUUGACCUCGGAUCAGGUAGGAAUACCCGCUGAACUUAAGCAUAUCAAUAAGCGGAGGA
rnacentral:misc_RNA from 1 species